UUCUUUCUCUCCUCCUCCCUGUUGAUUUCGAUCUCAGAGAUUUGAGCUUCUUCUGUUCGAGAAAUUCUUGUAAACCUUGUUAGCUUGAUGAACUGAGUGAGGUGGUGAUGUUAUUGAAGCUGAUUAGUUCUGGAAAAGCAGAGAAUUGGUGUUAGUCUAUAUAAACGACGAUCGAAUUCAAAGGAUGAGGCAGUUGAUUGAAGAUCUCUAGGUAGGCGAGGCUUGUCAUCAAAAGAGAGAGAAGGAUGCUGGGAGUAUUGUAUGUGAUUAUUGGAUUUAAUGCGUGGGCGGAUAAGGCUCUCCAUGAUUAUGUUCUUCUGUAUGCUGUCACCAUUAGUAUGUUUGGACACUUUCUAUGUAGAGCGCGCGUAUAAUGAGGUACUCGUAAGGACCAAACCUUAUCUGACUACGAGGCCGAAAAUCUCAGGGAGCUUUAAUGAUCAUUGAAGAAUCCGCAAGAGUCACCCUUGAUAUUCCGAAGGAUUACGUUGCUCAACUAUUAUUACUGUAGUGAAUGUGUGUCGGGUGAUUGGUUGGUAGAACUUUAUA